rnacentral:piRNA from 1 species
UGACACUGACUGCAUUGCACCCAUGGC